UUUUGAAAAAGGCAAACCAUCUGAAAGGAUGGGGCGCAAAGCCUAGGAACCUGUAAUCAGUAACUUGAUCAUGGUCGUCCAGCUGCCAGG
rnacentral:ncRNA from 1 species